rnacentral:rRNA from 1 species
UACGGAGGGGCUAGCGUUAUUCGGAAUUAUUGGGCGUAAAGGGCGCGUAGGCGGCCCGGUAAGUCAAAGGUGAAAUCCCUCGGCUCAACUGAGGAACUGCCUUUGAAACUGUCGGGCUUGAGGCCGGGAGGGGUAGCGGAAUUCCCAGUGUAGCGGUGAAAUGCGUAGAUAUUGGGAGGAACACCAGUGGCGAAGGCGGCUACCUGGACCGGUUCUGACGCUGAUGCGCGAAAGCGUGGUAGCAACAGG